UCCUUGGCAGUCUAGUGGUUAGGACUCAGCGCUUUCACUGCUGUGGCCCAGGUUCAAACCCUGGUGGGGGAA
rnacentral:tRNA from 1 species